UUUUUCUCAUCACAUCAACAGCCUUCUGGAAUGAAAAAAUGUUGCCGCUCCCAUCCCUAGUCAAAACCAAAUCCCUCCUUCAUUCCCUUCCUAUGGGCUUGAAGAGCAUGCUCUGACAUUCCCUGUUUACUUGCUUUGGCUCAAACCACGCCGAAUCAAGCCAAUGGACAAGUCUGGGGCACCAAGAGAACCCAAGAUUACAGAUUCAACCAUCGCUCGAGCUCGGGACCAUAGACUGGUUUUUCAUAUCAUGGGUUGUAUUGAUUUUAACUUCCUUGUCCAUAACAUUAUGUGUUUGAUAAAAUUUCUCAUUGAUAUAUUCAAACUGUAUGUAUCCCAAACUAUUUCAUUUGUUUUCUUGAGAGUAGUUUCUCAGAUGAGUUUCACUUAAGGCUAUUGUUAGAGACUUAGGGCUAUUUUUAAUUAACGGUUUAAAUUGUCAUAUGAUAAAUGUUGAAGGUUUAUUUCUGAAAGAUUGUGGUGGAAUUAUGUAAUCGUUUGUAUAAAUUGUUUACAGUUUGGUUUGUAUCGUUCGUUUUUAUUGCUUAAUGUGAUGGCAGGUUUUCCCAAAUUCAUGAGUUUGAGAAACCAAAUGAUGAGAGAGCUUUGAAUUUAAUGAACUACUGUGUUGUUGCAAUGCAGGACUACCCAGAUAUCCUUUUCAUGUGGGUACAAUGAUCAGUAUAGGUUGUUUUGUUUUCAAGAGGACGACUAAGUUUUACCAGAGGCUAGCCAGACCAAUGCACAAUAGAAAAAGGCAAUUGUUGCAGUUGAAAGUAGUCAGAUGGAUGAAUAAUUCAAUAAAAUUAUUGAAUUGAAAAAUAAGGCUGAAUUUCCAGAAAAUCACUUCACAGCAGACCUGCAGUUUCCUUCUCCAGCACCAGCCUCACCAACACACAGAUACCCAGCUCUCAACAAUUUCAACAACAACCAGGGUUCAAUAUUGUAAAUGAAUAAGCAAUGAAACAGUGCUUGUAUCAAACCAUAAUUAAUGAAACAGUGUAUUCAUUAA